UUUGCAAUCAAUUUUGUAGUAGUUGCUAUGCGGUUGCUAAUCUGCAACGCUCUUAUAAUUUUUUGCGACUAAAUUGUAGUUGCUAGGGUCUAUAAUUUGAAACCAUCUUUUUUAAAAAAAUUGCGACCAUUAUUGCAACUAACACGGUAAUCGCUACCAUUAAUUUUUUAAUAAAGAAAUAAAAAAAAAACCCUUAGUAUAAUAAGUUUUUGCCGCCAAAUAACAAGAACUAUCACUCCUUAUUUUCAUAAUCGCAGUAUAUACUCUUCUUCCUUAAAUAAAAAAAUAAAUAACAAAGGCUUCCAUUGCGAAUUUCAGAACCAAGUUCAGAACUUCAGAACGAACCUGUUGCCGUCGUCUUCAUCUGCCGCCCCUGCGCCACCACAUCUCCUCUCAGGAGAAUGGUAGAAAGACGUUAGAUUGGAAAAGGAGAAGUCAAAAGAUGGCAAUUUGAAGAGGAGAAUUAAUCAGAGGAAAUGAAUGAGGCAAACGAAGGUGAAGAGGCGGCUGAAUUUGUCCUCUCUCCGUUUUUUCCUCGACUCUUUCACAGUUUCUCUCUCUUCGAAACGAACAUCAAUCUCUUCGACCUCUCAACACGAAUAUCCUCAAAUCUCGAGUAUUUGAAAAUUCCAAAAUGUCAUCUGUAUCAUAUCCAACCCCUUUGCAUGGAAAAGCAACAAAAGAAAAGAAAGACCCUUUACAGAAGAAGACAUCUGAAUCUUCUAACUCUGAGGGCAAAGAAAAAUUCACUUUCUACACGCAAAAUGGACGUGUCGUUACUUGCCCUUAUACUACUACUGUUAACAAAGAUGGACUCAUCGUCAAUUCUUGCUCUUCCAUGCCUAAUAAGUACUAUGAAUUCAGCAAUUUACCAGAAUAUAACACUACAGUUCCAGGCUGUUGCACUGCUGUUUUCAAGGGAAAUCCAGUAACGUCUAUUCCUUGGUGCGGUCCAAUGUCGCUUCCAGUUCCCGUUGAAUGUAAGCCAAAUUUUGUUUUGCUGACUGAUUCUGAUGACAUUCUUGUUUCGGUUGCCAACAAUGUCGAUCGUAAAUACAACUGCCUCGUGGUGAGGGGCACCGUUGAUACUGCCACUUGCUUUUUUCUGAGGCACAUUAAGAAGGAGCUGGGCAACCAAAUUCCAAUCCUUGCACUGGUGGAUUAUGAUCCCAUGUCUUUGAAGCUUCUAUCCUUGUACGUGAAAUGGACUAGUGAGAAGAUGCCAUUGGAGUUAGCUUGCGUUGAUCUUGACAUUAAAUGGUUGGGGCUCAGGCGGAUCCAUUUAGACGUUGCUGAUAAUGCUUUAGAACCUGAGGAUCUCAAGAAGCUUGAGUUCCAUGGAUGAGGAUGAUUUAGCUGCUGCAAAAGAACUAUUUUUUAAUGCAAAUUUUGUGAACAAGUCCCCAGAGAGGGUUGCGGAGGUGAGGAGGAUGAUUGAUAGGAAGUUGAUGAUCUUGGUGGUUCAUCUUGAUACUGUUGAUUUUCUUCUCAAGUAUCUCCCUACUGUGAUUGAAGGCUAGAAGUGGAUUUAGGAAGCCUAUCACCUGGCUCUGUUCUGCUUAGAUGUGUUAGCUGCCCUUGCUCUGUCAUUGUCAUAAUUUUUGUUUAGGGCGUGUUUAGAGGAGAUGAUUUACUAUAUACUACUUGUAGUUAUUAAGCUUCGCUAUUCUAAUUAGAAUGUUUUAUUUAUGUUUGUCGUGAAUUAUACUUGUAUAUAAUAUGCUUGUCAAACAAAAUGAAAAUAUUCCUUGGAGCGCUGACUCAUCAUCUUAUCCGCUGACCAGGUUAGAGAUUGUUAUUCCAUUCGCUAGAUUUCAGGGAUGCUCCAUAACGAACGAACUCCUCUGUAAUUGAAUAGUUUUAUUUUAUUUAUAUAUUUUUUUUUUUAAUUUUUUGAGACAUCAAGUAGGCACAAAACAAUGUGCCUCAGUGAUACUUUAAUUGAAUAGAUUUUUUUUUUUUUUUUUUUCUUUUUAAUGAUGUUUAAUUACAAUUUUUUUCGAUGUUGUGCAGCUUAUAUAUCCUUUUUUGGAGCUUGAUAUGAAGUACUUUAAUCUCGGUCUCCCAAAUCGUGAUGCCACCAAUGACAAAGUCACAAUCGAAAGUGCAGAAGCUACAUUAAAGUAUGAUGUGGGUAUGAUGUUGAAUUGAUGGGCAAUUCGUUUGGUUGCUCUGCCUCGGGUAAGCGACUGUUGUCAGCGACAAGAGACGGAGGGUCAUGGUGUGGGUAUGUUUUUAUUUUUUAUUUUAUUUAGUUAUUUAUCUAUUUUUUAUGUAAUUUCUGUACAAAUUUUCCAGAAGUUUGCAGCACCGAAUUUUAGUUUAUACGACAUUAUUCGACUUCGAAUAGUACAAUUACUUAAUCAGCUUCUUUUACAGUUAUUAUUAAUGCUGGAAACUUUACAGAAUAUUUAAAAGUGUCCAAAAUAAUUGUAAGGGAAGGUGGAAAAAUUAAUUUGAGGGGCACAUGCAAGGGAACAACAAUGUCACAAUCUGAAUUGAUGAAAGUGUGAAAUUGAAGGAUGUUUAAUAAUUAAUUAAUCUAUUUAAUUGUAAAUAUAUAAUUUAGAAAUGGAAGUUUUGCAAGAGAACAACAGUCCCACCUUUUCAAUCCUCUUGUUCAGUAUAUAAUUUCCAUGUACAUCAUUCUUGUGAAGUAUAAGAAAAAUAAAGGUGGGUGAAUUUGAAGUUUGGGCGUUUCUUCAAUUUGGGGCUCAAAUUGAAGAAAGAGAGAAAUUAUGAAAAUCUGGAUUUGGGAUUAAAGUUGCAAGAGAUUUCCUGAAACUUUAAGUAGGGAGAGUGAUGAGGGACAACAAAAACAUGAAUUAUUGGAUGUAACCAAGCUCAAUUUAUCCAUCUUCUUCUUUUUUCUGGUUAUUUCUAGGUUUCAUUCAUUUUUGUGAUUAUUCUUACUCUAGUGUCAAAUUUUCCUACUCUAUAACUUUUUUCUCCAAUAUUUAUGUUUUAUAUUUAUAUAAUCUAACAACAGAAUUUUACAGAUUUGAGCAUCUGGGAUUUGCAAUUAGUUUACCAUUAUCUUGUUUGAUUAAUCAAAUGUUUGUUUUUGGUUUAUUUCACAAGCUAAUACCCUGUACAAAUUGAUUUACCAGAUUUCAGCUUUUAACUGAACUUGAAUGGCUUGUAUAUCAGAACUCAGCAAUCCUAACAUUGUACAAUAAUGUGUUUACAUAGUUAUUUAAUGUUUAGUGCAUUGUGACCUUCAGCUUAUAUUCUAUUUGUUAUGCUCUUCUUGGGUGUUGAUUAUAAUUUGAGGUUGUUGCUUGGAAAUUCAGUUUGUAGAGGUUUUGGGGCUUAACAUUAUAGUUUGAUUAUUGGUUGUUCACAAGGUUUGGUGUCUUUGCAAGUUGAUUAUGUGCAUUGGGGUUUAAUACUCGUUAGACAACUACUUACUGCUGCAUAAUAUAUUAAUUUGGAACCUGGAAUUUAUUCGAGGAAUACCCUUCUUAGUCAUUGCCCACCAGGCCACCCAAGCACUUCUCUUGGCACCUUGUUAUAAGCCUUCUCCAAGUUAAUGAUAAUCAUGUGAACCUUUUUCCCUCGCCCUAUAAUACUCCAUUAUUUGCCUUAUCAAAUGUACAACUUCCAUGGUAGACCGCCCCGUCAUAAACCCAUUUUGGUUAUGUGAGAUCCUUGUACAUGUCCUCAAUUUAAAGUCUAUCACUCUCUCCCAUAGUUUCAUGGUGUGACUCAUGAGCUUUAUUCCUCGAUAGUUUGAGCCAUCUUGAGCAUAACCUUUGUUCUUACAAAUUGGUUUUAACGUGCUUUUCUUCCAAUCAUGUGGCAUAACACUGCUUAAAAUUAUUAGUACCAUAAUUUUGCUUAAAAUUUUUCUUCAAAAACAAAAUGCCAUAAAAUUUUUUGUUUUUUCUCUUCUAUGCCACUGGGCAGUCUUCCUUGAAAUUAUUUGUUAGGGUUUUAUCUUACAAGAAUUUUCAAAUGUUGAACAGAUUGAGAUGAAUUGUUAUUUUUGGCACAAUCCAAACAGAUCGAGGGCCAUUAUGGCCUUUUUUCAGGGACAAAUGGAUUGUCAAUGUUUUAUUAAUUUAAUUAUAAAUUACUAUUCCCUUCUAUUGCUAGCUAGCUAAGUAGUCAUCAGAUGGUUUUUGUUGAAAUAUAUGUAGAUAUCAGAACACCUUCAUGAGGCUUUUGUUUACCUAGAUAUGGGAUGCACAGAGAGUUUCAAAUUUAUUGGUGCAUUCUCUUUGUUAUUGGAAUAUAUUAUGGAGCAGGAGCUGUUUGUUGCUACGUUGUAUACUUGAAUCUGGUAAGGGUGAGAUAAUUUGUUUAUCUGCUGAUCACAGGCUUGAGAGCAAUGAGGAAGAGUAAGUUGUAGGCACAACAUAGUUCUAUUAGUCACCUUAAUUGUGUGCUACUGUUGAGGUUAACAUUUUAAUUAACUAUUAAUAAGGAGAGAUCGUGUUACAGCCUGUGGAGGUGAAGUUGGUCGGCUUAAUACUAGUGGUGGAACAGAGGUAACUUUUUUUUUCUUUUUCUUUUUCUUGGAAACCUAUUCUUCUCUCUCUUUUGAUUUUGCACGUUAUUCACUGCAUCUUUUUGCUUGGAUUGAUAUAGUUUUGUAAAUGAAUCUUUACUCACUGUAAUCCAUCUUGUGGCCUUAUAUGUCAAAAACUCAAGACUUAUUUUGAAAUUUCUGAUGUAUGUAUUUGAGAUUAAUAGUUUUCUAUUUGUUUGUUUGGGUAUGCUUGUGUUAAUGCACUUUGUAGUUGGUAUAAUGACAAUCCAAAUAAACAUAAAAAAUAAUUUGGCAGAGCCAUUGUCCCUUUUUUUUUUUUUUUUUUUUUUUUUUUUUUUUUUUUUUGCUAUAGUUAUUUUAGAUUUUGAAAAGUAUGAUAUGAAGUGUUUUAGAUAGAUUGAUACUUAUAUACCAUUAAAAUUUUGGAGAGAUUUGGUGAAAACAUAUUCCUCUCUUAGAAUAUAAGAUGUUAGUGUCCAGGAUUUCUUAUUAUAUAAGAUGUUAGUGUCUAGGUUUUGUCCAAAAUAGGUUUCUAUGGAAAAAAUGAAGGGUAGGGAUACUUCUGAACUUGAGUUGUGAAUCAAUGUGCUUAGGUACCCACUUAAUUAUUUCUUUUACCUGUAAACUGUUUAUCUACAUUUUAAAUUGUGGUUGUUGAAUGAAAAGAUGAAAAAGUUAAUGUAAAUCUGCAGUAAUAAAGGGAUACAAGUGCUGGAUAUCAUCUGCUCAUAAUCCUGUAUAGCUUGGGAAGACAAAAUGAUUAAAUGGAUGGGCGACAUCAUUUUAUAACUGACCUUAAAAAAUGCACAUUCAAUUUUUUGGUCUACCCCAUUGGUUUCAAUCAUUUUGGCUGGACUUUGCAGUUAAUAUAUGCUGAAUGUAUGCCUAGGGCUUAUUGGCCCCUAUCCGGAUGCCUCUUCUUUAGAGUAAAUUCCAGUGAAGUGGAUGAAGUACUAAAAUCUGGAGCAUAAUGUGCACCAGAUUUUAUCUUAUGCAUUAUGCAUAAUUUUUAAUUAUUUUUCCCUCAGCUUCACUUCUUUUUUUUUCUUUCUAUUUUGUUACUAAUUGGAGCAUGUUAUUCAAUGCUUAUAAAGAUUGGUCCUUUGAGGUGUUGGCCUGGUGGCCUUUGUCUAUCUCGAUUUCUUGGAGAUAUGGAUGUUGGCGAAUUUAAAGUUCCAGUUCCUUAUGUGAAACAAGUGAGGGUGGCAAAGCUCAAUACCCCAAAACAGUACUACUUCAGAUUUCAUGACCACAAGUAUGCCACGGUCUUCUAGACUAAUAUGGAAACGCCAUCUCUCUGCCUGGUAAUUAAAGAUUGUUAAUCAAGGAAGACUUUGAUUUCCUAUAGAAAUUGAGCUCCAUAUGGGAUUUAAAUAAUGUUUGGUGCAUGCACGAACAUUAAUUGGAAACCCCACAAAUGCUUCCUAAGUUUUGCUUGCAGAUUCUUCUCAUAGGGCCAAAGUAUGCCAGAGGGGGUGUUAUUCACUUUAGCAAAGCUCCUGGGGUUCCAAGCAGUCACACACUCACACUAAGCCCAUUGUGUGAUCACAUGGGGUAGGAAAUUUGGAAAAGCUAUUUGGUUUUCCAGCUGCAGCAAUUUGAUGCAGAUGACUCUGACCUAGAGGUGGCACCACCCUGGGUUUUCCUCUGCACCAUGCAUCCUCAUCCUCCUAAAGUUGGCCUUUUAUGAUGCACCUCUCUCUCUCUCUCUCUCUCCAUUGAAGCACAAACUCUGAAUCCUCCAUUGAAGCAACUUUUGAACUUUCUCCUCUGUGGAAGUAACUUCUGAGUUUUUCAGGAUAACACACCACCGCUUUGACGCUAGAAGUAAAUGGAGUAGUUUUGAACGUUAUGGUGAAGAGGAAAGAAGAAAAGUCUAUUGCAAGCAAAAGGACGAGGAGUUGGGUCAUUACUGGAGAGGGUCUGUGACUGGACUGAUGUUAGAUUUGACAUGGACACUAGAAAUUGAGUGUAUCUCGGCAGCAUGUCAAGUUUUGUGAUGAGAAUGUGUCUUUGUGUAUGUGCGAAAGGUCCUCUUAUUUAUUUUGGAUUCCUUGCAUCCUAUUAUAGCUUUGAUUAGAUCUUCAUUUUCGAAUAAUGAUAGUCUCAUUAGAAUCUAGAUGGUAAAAAACAUGAUUUCCAAUGUGAAGACUUUAAACUAAUAUCAUUGAAGUCAGUUGCUCAAGCAAUUUGUCUUGUGAGUAGUGUUUACUGUUAUGAUCAUAUAUUUACUCAAGAUGUGUCUUUUUGGUACUUUGAAAUACAUGUAAUUCAUAAGUCAUUAUUGCAUUGUACUCCUGACUCUUAAAUUUGCAAACUGCUAUAAAAUUGACACUUGUUAUUGAUAA